rnacentral:snRNA from 1 species
GUUAUCUUGCUCUCCUGCAUUUGACCGUGAAAAUCUUUCGCCUUUUACUAAAGAUUUCCGUGCAGGAGAGCAUUCAUGAUUGUAAAAGUACUUUUUGGAAGCCCUACAAUGGGCAA